rnacentral:rRNA from 1 species
GGUGCUGCAUGGCUGUCGUCAGCUCGUGUCGUGAGAUGUCCGGUUAAGUCCGGUAACGAGCGCAACCCUUGCCGUAUGUUACAAGUGUCAUACGGGACUGCCGGUAUCAAGCCGGAGGAAGGUGGGGAUGACGUCAAGUCAGCAUGGCCUUUAUAUCCGGGGCUACACACACGCUACAAUGGUCAGUACAAUAGGUUGCAAAGCCGCGAGGUGGAGCCAAUCCAUAAAGCUGGCCUCAGUUCAGAUUGCAGGCUGCAACUCGCCUGCAUGAAGUUGGAGUUGCUAGUAACCGCGCGUCAGCCAUAGUGCGGUGAAUACGUUCCCGGGCCUU